rnacentral:lncRNA from 1 species
AGGAAGACCCUGGCCUCCAUCUUGAAAACGGAAAAUAAAAACAGCAGACCUAUGAAGGUCGAAGGGGAAGAAAAGCUGUAUCGAUUGUUGAGAUCUGGCGACUUGUUUAAAUUUCAUCAGCCUCACUUCUAUGAACUCUCAGGCCUCACGUGUACCAGCUCUCUGCUCUCCUUUGCCUUGGGACGUUCCAUCCCUGGAAGUUUCCCUGCCCACAUCUUUGUAGAGAGUCCAUUCUCCAAGCUUCAGUGUGUCAUCUGUGAGGACCGUGACCCACCUGGUACAUCGCCUCAGGGCAUUCAUUUCAGGCUCCUUCUAAAUGGCCAAGAGACAACACCAACAUUUUUGUAAUGGCCUGCAAGGCCUUCCGAGAUCUACCUCCUGCAACUCAGCUUCUCCUGUGCUCUCCUUCUGGACUCACUCUGCCUCAGCAACACUGGUCCCUGUUGCCCCACCAAUAUGCCAGGCCAUGAGAGAAGCAGUACCUUAUAAUGGUUCCUUGUUCAAAGCACUCAAUAUUCCUAGGAUGUGGUCUCCCAGCUGACUUCAUAACUGAAUCAUCAGUAAUUAAUUUCAUUGUUCUAUUAGGACUUUACUGAAGACUCUAAGGAGGACCUGUAUCUGUUGGGAUCCUCAGGGCAAGCCACAGAAACAAGCUUUGGAUACUAGAAGCAGAAAAUGGAGAUAUUGAAGACUAUUGUGGAGUUUACUGUGAGCCAGAGAACCAGGCUGGGGGGCUGUAUCACUUAGAAUGAGAUCCAAACUCACACCAUAGUUCCAUCCUUGAGGUUGCCAUGUUGCUGCCACCCCUCCUGCCACCCCACCACUGAAGCUUUGGAUGCUGGAUUCUGGGCACAGCAGGGAGAAGUGUUGCUUAUUACCAUUUUAGUAUGUUUUCUUUCAAGACCUUUUCAAAAUAUACAUACGUAUUUUUAUUUCUAUUCAAAAUGGGAUACAUUUUUGAAGGUUAGCAAUAUAUUGUGAACAUUUUCUUUCCAUGCUCAGAAACAUUUUUCUAUAAUGUAAUUUAUAGUGAUAUAAACUAUCUCAUAGACCUACCAUAGUUUACCUAACAAAUCCCAAAUCAUUUGUGCCAUUUCUAAAUUUUUAUUAUUUUAUGUAAUGCUUUAAUGAACAUCCUUGCAUUUAUAUUUUAUACAAUUUUAGAAGUGGAAUUACUGGUUCAAAAUACAUGGUGAUUUUUAAUUCUUCUGUUGAAUAUUGACAAAUUGCAAUCCUGAGAGUUAUCUUGAAGGAUAGAGUACAUGCCCAGGGUUCUUUUUUAAGAAAUAAUUUGUAAUGUGAAACAGAAUAGGCUAAAUGUUUUUUAUUCUCUUAGUCCUACUCUGUCAUUCUGCAGAGUUUCACUUAUUUGGAUUCAAAUUCUAAUUCCAGCCUACCUCUCUUUUUAUAUAAUUGUUAGGAGGAUUAAAUUAGAUGCAUAAAAUUGCUGCUUACUACAUACAUUGCACAAACUAAAAACUUUUCAAAGGUUAACUGUUUUUCUGGUUUAUUUUUAAGACACAGGUUCUUGCUCUGUUGCCCAGGCUGGAGUGCAGUGGUGUGAUCACGGCUCACUAUAGCCUCAUCCUGCUGCACUGAAGUGAUCCUCUUGCCUCAGCCUCCUGAGUAGCUAGGACUACAGGCACGUGCCACCAUACCCAGCUAUUUUUUUAAAAAUACAUUUUUGUUGAGGCUGGGUCCCCUUUGUUGUCCAGGCUGGUCUUAAGCUCCUGGCCUCAAGCAAUCCUUCCACUUCUACCUCCCAAAGUGUUGAGAUUAGAGGUGUGAGCCACUCCACCUGACCCAAAGGUUAACUAUUAUUAUUGUUAUUAUUAGUCUGUUUUUUUCCAUUCAUUUCCUCAUUAGUCAACUUUUAUUGUUUCAAUGUUAUUUUAUUGUUUUUCAAAGACUCCUUAUAGUCACAAUAUGUACAUAAUAAAUUUUACCCUUUAAGGACACUGAGGUUCCAAAUGAAAAUGAUAUUUUUAAGGUGAAACAAUUAUAGAUAGAAAAACAACUUUUUUUUCUGUGAGUACUAGAUUUCAUAUUAUCCUUAAUGUCUUUCUAGGUAGUAACCAAGUGAUUUCUCAUAAACUGGAAAACAUUAUUCCCACUGAUAUUCUUAAAAACAUUUAGGAUUAAAAAAUGUAUUUUAAAUUCUUCUUGACAGAAAUCAUUUAUUGCAAUUACAUUGCCAAUUCAUAUAUAUAUUACAUAUAUGUCACCUUGACUUAUAGUAACCUGAAGGGGAAAUUUGUAGGUUUAGCAAAUCCCUUCGAGUAACACCCACAGAACUGAAAUCUUAUUCCAUUUCUUGGUGGUCUUCUACCAAUCCAGUCCUCCUGAGGACCAUAAAAACUAUUGGUUCCUCUCCUAAACUGCUGUAAAAUAUAUCCUGUGAGACCCAGGGGAAAAUCUUUCUGAGGUUGAGCAUUCCAUGGAGACUCAAUAUUCCAGAUUUUGAAAUGUAGCUAGAAGUGGAAAUGGAUUUAUUUCUCAGGAUCUCUUUGUUCAUAAUUAAGGAUAUAAAAAAUAGAGUUCAGAAUGUGAGUGAAAUGUAACUGAAAAGGAAAGCCUUGAUUUUACAUAUAAAAUAUCUUUACCAGAUGGGUGAAGUAAGGUAACUUAAGACAAUACUUAAAAUUCAAUAACAAUGAUGAAACUAUGAAAUACAAAACUUCUGGCACCCAUAAGCUAGUUCCUAGAAAGAAGGUUAUCAUAUAUUGUUAAUGUGUUCACACACUUAACAAAUAUUAAUGUGUUCAUUACAUUUAAGGCAUGAGAACUUACACAUCAUUCAAUGGUGAUAUUAAUAAUAAUUCAGUAAUCAUUAAUGAUGUACAUGCUGUUAAUAACCACAGGGCAAGUUUAUUUUUCUGUUUUCUCUGAGUUCACUUGACUUUCCCUAAUUUCUGAAGAAUUCAUUCUUUUCUUUGUGUGCUAAGAAAGAAAGGCAUUAAUAUUUAUUUAAUUUUAGUCAUUCAUUUAAAUAUAGUCUAUCUUGUUCUAAAAUGUAUUUAUGGCCAACAUGUUUCUAUUUGUUGUCAAGAAUUCUUUAAUAAUUUGUGUAUUUUUCUAGCAGUAUUGUCUUCCAUUUUUCCCUCCACUCAUUGGGAAAAAUUGCUGAUUUCUUUCUUUCCCUUCCUCAAAGUCAUCAAAUAUAGAACACAAUCCCUUGUGUGCUCAAUAAAAUAUCCCUAUGGAAUUCAAAGUCUUUGAUAACAUUUAAAUUUGGUCUUGGGUUGCAGUGACAUAGACUUAGUUAUCACAUUGGCACUCGCUUAAUUAAACCUUUCUGCAUGAUUGAAAACCCUGGUUCCAAUGUCUUGAGUUCUGAGAUCUGUUUCAGCAGAAAAAGCCCAUUUUUUUGUUAUGCAUUCAAGGCUUGUGUUCUUUAACUGUAUUCUGGAGAGAAGGGAAGGCAUUCACAGUUUUUGAGUAUCUACCAUAUGAAUUAUUUUUUUUCUUAGUAAUCCUCACAGUCACCUUUUGUUUUAUUACCUUGUCCAUUUUAAGAAUGUGUAAAAAAGUGUAAUGCUAAUUAGUAAAGCUGAGAUUCAAAUCCAGCUUCACCUUCAUUUUUUCAAACAGCAAACAUGUAUCAUAUGCCUUAUUGUAUAAGAAAAGUUGUCCUAAGUUGUCCUAAGUUAUAGAAGUGCUAUAGUGGUAGAAUUGAUUGCAAAGUUGCUUCAUAUUCUGCAAUACUGUUGCUGAAACUAUUUUAGGUAUGUCCUUGGUAUUUCUCAAAUAUUAGAAUUCUAAUGUAGUAAAAUCAAAUUUAAUUUGCAACUGAAUCAUGCACAAACUAAACAGCAGCAAACAAAAAUACACUGAUCGUGUCUACACUGGCAUGGUCAUUAACAGUGACAAGGUCUUCAUGUAGUCUGGUUUAGUCUGAGAAUCUGCAGCCUGGAAUAUUCAUCUGGACUCAAAGCAAAUACUCAGCUGGUAUGUUCCAGUACACCCAUAGCCAGAGGUAGAUUUUCAUGAAACUGAUCAUAUGAAACUUAUUUAUACUUAGGAUCCUGGUAGAGGCCCUAGUAAUAAUCUUUUUUCCUGUUUUUUUCUUUUCUUUAUUUGUGAAAGUAAGACAAUUUGUAUUUAUUUUCUUCAUGGACAUAUUCCAAAUUGUAUAAAUGUUAGUCUGAACAAAUCAUUUAUCCAUGUCUAGUUGUAUUAAUUUUAAAAAUAUUGACCUACUUAUAUAACUGGUUAAUUAGUCCUCAGGCAUUAUCCCUACACUCUAGCUCCAAGGGCUUCUCCUUAGAAAUCAUCUGGAUAUCUUUAUGAUCCAGCAACGGAAAGAUCAUAUCAGCACAGCAGGGAGACUGCAGGACUGUGCCCCAGGUCCAAGGGUGGCAUCUGUUUGGAUUGGUUGUUACAUGUGCUGUUAUCAGUGGUUAAAUAUUUUGAAUAUCACCCCAAGUAAACCUGAAAAUCUAACUAAAUUUCAAAACUCUCAUAGCUAUUGAAGGACACUCUUAAAGCAACUCCAACUAUUUUGUCAGGAUAUAUUAUUCAUAUGUAGAAUAGCUGUAUAUGUGUGCAUAUAUACAGCAUGUUUGUGUGUGUGCAUGUGUGUGUGUGUGUGUGUGUAUGAGUAGAAUAGUCCUAAAGGAAUGUUCAACAUUAAACAUAAAAUGCCAAGGAAUCUUCUGAGGUAUUGGUAUUUUCUGUUUCUUAUCUGUGUGCUGAUUAUAGAGGUAUGUUAAGUUUGUGAAAAUUCAGAGAGCUAUACAAUUAUGUGCAAUUUUGGCAUUACAUUAUCAUUAAAUACAAAGUUUAAAAAAAAAAAAAAAAA